GAGAGAUUAUGCAGGAAACCUUGCUAGUACCACAUGGCUUCAGCUAGUGGGAAGGCUGGGGAGAGGUGUCAAACCUGACUCCUGCCUGGACUUCUGAGAAAAUGGUGGCAUCGUUGCUGGAGUCGGUGUCCAAAGGGAAGCAGAGUUGGGUCUGUGGACGAGGUGGAGUUCAAUUCUUCGUAUUUGCAGUGUGAGGCUAAGUGAAACACUCUGGAGGAAUUUCCAAUGUCUACCGUUAUGGAACAGCGACCCAUGUGACGGCAGACUACUAAAGGUAAGGCAUGGGCCUGAGCUUAGAGAUGAUGGCUGGGGUUGCAGGAAGGCUGAGCUUCCCCAGGGAAACCCAAGGAGUCAAGAACGCUCUGGACUGGUAUUUGCAUGUAGUGGUUGGACGCAGGCAGAUGCUCAAAGCAGUACUGUUCAAUCAAUACAUUUGCCCUUGGCCAUGUGGAGUCAUUUAUGUUUACAUCGUUAAAAUAAAGUAACUCAAUUGCCACCUGGAUAUGUUUCCAGCACUAAUGGUUGCAUGUGGUUAGUGGAUGCUCUGAGGAACAAGCAUUUUCACUGCCCAAGAUUUAAAAAAAAAAAAAAAUUCAAGUAUAACAAAAAUGGAGACUUUGAGAGAAAAAUCAGAAAGCAGAUGAGGUUUAGGGAGGAGAGUGUUCUCAGGAGGAAGUGUUUCAGUGUUGAAUGUUGAAACUGGUGUCAGGAAGACAAGUUCUGGAGACCUUGCAUAAGAAACAGUUCAACCGCUGAGGUACCUGUAUCAUCCAGUGGAGGAUUUAUACUCUGGGUUACAUGGAGAGUGAACACAGUGUCUCUGACACACUAGAUAAGUACUUGACCACUGAGACAACCAGCUGGCCUCUCUACCUUUCAUUUUGAGACAGUAUCACUGUGUAUGUAGCCCAGCAUGCCUUGAGUUUGAAUUCUACCUCAACCUGCUAAGUCCUGGGAUUACAAUGUGCUACCAACGGGGAAUUUUUUUAAAGCCAAGGGUCUUGUUCAUGUCUAGAAGCAAUGGACAGAGGUAUGUGAGCAUGGCAAAGGCUCCCAAGUCUGUGUACUGCCCCCUUCUUGUUUUAGCUAGACGUCCAAAUCCUUCCACCCAUGGGCCUGUGGGUGUCCUCUGGCACCCAGAGCCCGAAUGCCUUAACUGUCUCCCAGUUGCUCCCAGUCUCAUAGUCUUCCAUUUCACUCCAGUUUUCCAGUGACUAAGGCUGGAGCACUUAGUCAUAUGGCGUCACGGACUCUUCCUGGUCAGUCAGGACAUGCUUGUUCCAUUGUCUCUAUAGGUACUCGUUUGUUUAAAAGGUUAAAAAGUGAUUGCAUAGUAUUUCAGACAACACAAUAUGAAGUAUGGUGAUACCCUCCCUCCACCUAACUUAAUGAAAACUUGGACAUGUAAGCACAGCACUUAGGAAACACAUUUAAAUCUCAUUUUUCUCUCACAUUUAUUUAUUUAUUGUUUGUACUUUAUGCUAUAGCACAUGUCAUGGUAAGGUGAUGACUUGAGGGACGGUCCCUCCAUCAUGUGGAUUUCUGUGACGGAAGUGCUGUCAGAUUUGGCUACAAGCCCUCCUGAUCUGCUAAGACAUCUGGCUGGUCUUCGAUUUCCUCCUUACCCGUUUAAAACUUAGCAUCUUGAAGACUUACAGUGAGUUUCUUUAUUAGUAUCAUUUCUGGUUGCUGUGAUAUAACACCCUGACAAAGAGCAACUUAGAGGAGAAAUGUUUAUUUCAGUCCUUUCUAGGAGGGAACCCAAGGAAACAGGAACUUCAGUCACAUUGGACUUCAGGGCACAUCAAAUCCAUACACAAAGAGAAUGAAUGCUUGCAUGUUUACAACUCAGCCUAUUGUCUCUGCUCUUAUAUGGUCCAGGACCCAAAUAAAUCCAGGAAAUGGUGCCAUCCACAGUGGGCUAUGUCUUUCCACAUCAGUUAACUUAAUGAAGACAGUCCCUCAUAGACACAGGUCAGCCUGAUCCAGAUAACCCCUAGAGAAGAUGGUCUUCUCAGCUGAUUCUAGAUUGUGUUAAAUUGACAAUUAAGACUGACUCUAACAGUUAUUAUAUCCAUAUAUAGUCAUAACUUGCUAUGUUUUAAAACAUCCUUCUGUAACUAGUUUCUUCAUUCUGUAUUUUAAAAGUUCUACAUAUUCUGAACCAACUCAGCAUAGAUGAAGAAAAUUCAGAGCUCAAAUGCCCAACUACCCAGACAGUACUGACAUUUCCAGUUUGAUAUGGUAAGACUAAUUGCUGACCAUGAUUCCAUAUAAAGUUUCUAGCUAUUCAGUGAGGUACCUUAUAGACCUAGCUUGAUUUCCUCCUUUUCUUGGAGUUGUAGCUGAUGUUAUUACCAACUUUGUCCUAGUCUACUGGGGAAUAGGGUGAUCUGGUUUUGUUUCUUGGCCAGGAAUAGCUUGUGAAAUCUUGAGAGAAAACAUGACAAGAAACUGGGCCAAGUCUGGGGACAGGGGAAAACAGACCUUAUUGUUUUGAGAUUUAUUCAUGAUGUUCGAUACUUUUAAAUUUUCAUUUAAUGACUGUUUUGAAACAUGUUAAUCCAUUGUCAAUUAUACUGUAUUAGUUACUAUACGUGUGUAUUUAUCUAAAUACAGGUAUUAUGUUUUGCAUAUGAGUGCUUUGAGUGUAUCUGCACUAGUUAAGAAAAAGGUAUUCUUUCAAGAGACCAUUUUGCUUUUGGUCAUCUUAAGAUAGGCUGUAACAUUGACUCAACCCUGGUUGAAGUCUACUGAAUCUUACCUUAGUGGUGAGUGAUACUUUUGCUAAUAUGCAUUCCUUAAGAGCUUUGCCUCAAAAUAGUUUGAGUUAUCUGCUUUUUGGCCCAAAAGCAUUAUUCUUGCUUGCAUGCCACAAGAGAAAGAGAACAUGUGUCAUUGUCAGUAUUAAAAAAAUACCAGGAAAUAGUUGGGGGAGAAUUCCAGCACACAGGAGGCAGAGGCAGUGGCAGGUAGAUUUCCUGUGGUUCCAGGCUAGCCUGGUCUACAAAUCAAGUUUCAGGAUAAACAAGGCUACACAUGAAACCUUGUUUUUAAAAACAAACCAACCAACCACCCUCCCAAAAGUCCAAAAAGUCCUCUGAAACUGAGAUGCAUGCCCUCCCCACCCAGUGAUUUUUUUUUAAGGUAGCGCAUAUUAAGCUAGUUUAAAUGCUUCAAUUUGCACAACAUUAUACAAAACAUAAUUACAAUAAUUGGGUCGUUUAUUCUUGCUUGAGAUAGAUUUCUAAUAAAAGUAUUAAGGAAAGUGUUUCCUCCUCUUAAAUUCAACCUUUUUAAAGUAGAAGUAUCUAGAGGUAAUAGACAAUGUUCUCUUGUUUGCAGAACAUUUUUUUCUCCUGAAUGACUGCAAGACAUUAAGGAUGUGAAAGGAAGGAGUGUUAACCUAAAUCACUAAGUAAAGAAAAUGUACCUAAGCACUCCCAGGGGAAGGAUACUUGGGGUGAGAUUUACCAUUUUAAUAAAUGUUGGCAUUGUUGACUUAUUUUCUUAGGUUAAGAAGCAGGGAGUUUGUGUGUGCAGCAAACUAAUUUUAAAGGGUGGCUGUGCCUGACUGAAUAAAAUAUAACUAAGCUUGCUUUGAUAUCACUGGCCAGAAUUAAAACCUUUUUUCCUUAUGAAGAGACUUGAGACUUUUUGCUGUCAGUGACUGUCUUCAGGGUCCACAGAAGUAGAUGGUUGGUAACCAAGGGCUAAGGGUGGGGAGGAUGAGGUGGGAUGGGAAGGCGAUGUAUCCGAGUAUGCGACCAAGAGCUGAAUGUGUGUGAAAAAGUCCUCCUCCAGCCUCGGAGGGGGUGUCUCCCCCAAUACCAGCUCCCUCCCCCAGGGCUCAUGGGGCGGGUCCGGUUUGCUCAGUAGCAGCGGCAGCCUUGGGGCUGAGCGGUGGUGGCCUCCUGGCAGCGCUGGCAAGAACCAGCUUCGAGAGCCCAUGCCCUGGGGAGAUCCAGUCCAGGCGGCUGCCAGGAUGGAGGAAACGUCGAGUGGAGUCGGAGCCACCGGGGACGGACUUCCUCCCCAGUUCAGCUCCCCGACAGCUUGGCAAGGCCUGCACGAAGGGCCAACGAGUGGAAGAGGCUUGCGCCUCGGGCCUGGCAGCCGUAGCCGAGGAACGAGGCUGGCACACCGGGGUAACGCGCGAGCCGGGGCCGUUCUCAGGAACCUACGGCGCCACGGCCGCUCAUUGUCUCUCCCCUUCAACCCGGGGGCAAACAGGAAGCCCGCCGCCUGGCCAAGCGACGGACAGGCGUCCGGACCAAUGAACACAGCUGACGGAGAGCCCAGCGGCAAAUGAGCGCCGGGAAGAGGGGCGGAACUUCCGGGCGGGCUGUCACCCUCUUCCCCCCUUUUGGGCUGGAGGCUCCACCUUUUGUGUUUCCCGCACAGUCAAUCAAAAUAGGAAAAAAAAAAAUCCCCGGACCGCUCCGGCCGUGUCCGCCGCCGCUUCCCGCAUCCUCUCCCGCCGCCGCCGCCUUCGCUUCUCACCAUGUGUAAGGCGGCGGGGAGCCCCGCCUGAGGUGUCCUAAACACACUAUGACCGCUCCCGAAAAGCCCGUGAAACAAGAGGAAAUGGCUGCCUUGGACGUGGACAGCGGCGGCGGCGGCGGCGGCCACGGCGAGUAUCUGCAGCAACAGCAGCAGCAGCAGCAGCACGGAAACGGCGCGGCGGCGGCGGCGGCGGCCCAGGACACUCAGCCGUCACCGCUCGCUCUGCUGGCCGCUACCUGCAGCAAGAUAGGGCCGCCAUCGCCGGGCGACGACGAGGAGGAGGCGGCCGCCGCCGCCGGGGUCCCCGCCGCCGCCGCCGGAGCGACAGGUGAUUUGGCUUCUGCACAGUUAGGAGGAGCACCAAACCGAUGGGAGGUUUUGUCAGCUACACCUACGACUAUAAAAGAUGAAGCUGGUAAUCUAGUACAGAUUCCAGGUGCUGCUACUUCAAGUGGGCAGUAUGUCCUUCCCCUUCAGAAUUUGCAGAAUCAACAAAUAUUUUCAGUUGCACCAGGAUCAGAUUCAUCAAAUGGUACAGUGUCCAAUGUUCAAUAUCAAGUAAUACCACAGAUUCAGUCAACAGACGCUCAGCAGGUUCAGAUUGGCUUCACAGGCUCCUCAGAUAAUGGGGGUAUAAAUCAAGAAAGCAGCCAAAUUCAGAUCAUUCCUGGCUCUAAUCAAACCUUACUUGCCUCUGGAACACCUCCUGCUAAUAUCCAGAAUCUCAUACCACAGACUGGUCAAGUCCAGGUUCAGGGAGUUGCAAUUGGUGGCUCAUCAUUUCCUGGCCAAACUCAAGUAGUUGCUAAUGUGCCUCUUGGUCUGCCAGGAAAUAUUACCUUUGUACCAAUCAAUAGUGUCGAUCUAGAUUCUUUGGGACUCUCGGGAAGUUCUCAGACAAUGACUGCAGGCAUUAAUGCCGAUGGACAUUUGAUAAACACAGGACAAGCUAUGGAUAGUUCAGACAAUUCAGAAAGGACUGGUGAGCGGGUUUCUCCUGAUGUUAAUGAAACUAAUGCUGAUACAGAUUUAUUUGUGCCAACAUCCUCUUCAUCACAGUUGCCUGUUACAAUAGAUAGUACAGGUAUAUUACAGCAAAACACAAAUAGCUUGACUACUACUAGUGGGCAAGUCCAUUCUUCAGAUCUUCAGGGAAAUUAUAUCCAGUCGCCUGUUUCUGAAGAGACACAGGCUCAGAAUAUUCAGGUUUCUACAGCACAGCCUGUUGUACAACAUCUACAACUUCAAGAUUCUCAACAGCCAACCAGUCAAGCCCAAAUUGUGCAAGGUAUUACACCACAGACAAUCCAUGGCGUGCAAGCCAGUGGUCAAAAUAUAUCACAACAGGCUUUGCAAAACCUUCAGUUGCAGCUGAAUCCUGGAACUUUUUUAAUUCAGGCACAGACAGUGACCCCUUCUGGACAGAUAACCUGGCAAACAUUUCAAGUACAAGGGGUCCAGAACUUGCAGAAUUUGCAAAUACAGAAUACCGCUGCCCAACAAAUUACUUUGACGCCUGUUCAGACACUCACGCUUGGUCAAGUUGCAGCAGGUGGAGCCUUGACUUCAACUCCAGUUAGUCUAAGCACUGGUCAGUUGCCAAAUCUACAGACAGUUACAGUAAAUUCUAUAGAUUCUACUGGUAUACAGCUACACCCAGGAGAGAAUGCCGACAGUCCUGCAGAUAUUAGGAUCAAGGAAGAAGAGCCUGAUCCGGAAGAGUGGCAGCUCAGUGGUGAUUCUACACUGAAUACCAAUGACCUAACACACUUACGAGUACAAGUGGUAGAUGAAGAAGGGGACCAACAACAUCAAGAAGGAAAAAGACUUCGGAGGGUAGCUUGCACCUGUCCCAACUGUAAAGAAGGUGGUGGGAGGUAUGCAUACAUCAGCCAUGUGUUGUUGUUCUAAGGAGUGCUAAGAUCACCCCGAUUUUUAAAAUAUUGCAUGCCAUGUCAGUAUUUAAUGAUAAAUUAAUCAUUACAUCAUCAUUUUGGGAGUGUGACUGUAUGAGUGGUUGAAGUAAGGAAAAAAAGCGUACAAAUUUUAAAUUAAAUUUGCUUAGUCUUUAAAAGAAUAUAACAUGUAAUUUUAUAGACCCCAUUUUAUUAGCCUGUUUGCUAACCACCAAUGAGUUCAACCUAAAUACAAAGAAAAAAAUUAUAGCUUGAAAAGGUUAUAUAAAAGUAAGAAAUUCACAAUUAGUUGAUAAGUGUAAAUACUAUUUUCAACAGAAAUGGGGAUGAAAGGCCUUAAUAAUGAUGGGGAUUUAUUGUUCUGAAAGUAACCCAGUAGUAUUUUACCUCAUUCUUUUUUAAAAAGAUAUAUUUCCUAAGACAAAAACACUGAUAGGAAUGAGCUCAGAGUGGUUGGUAAUGUAGCUAUAAAUAAGCUUAUUAAGAGAUGGACUUAGAUCAUAAAAACUACAAACGCCAUCCUGAUCUUAUUAUAAGAAACAUUUCAAAUGAUUGAUACAGUGUUACUGAAAAUGAGAUGAAAAAGAUCAGUCAAAUGUUAGCAAAAACAAAAUGGAUAGCAAUGUUGGUAUCAAGGAAGAUGGGAUUAAGUUGGAAAGUAUUAGACAGGCAAGAUUAAAUGUCAUGACAACAAUGACAUUUCUGUUUAGAGUCAAUAGUCUUAGUAUCUUUGUCCAGUUUUGAUUAUAUGAAGCAAAGACAAAAUCAGAAAGUUGUGCUAACAAUCUCCAGUCGUUACUGUGAAAGGCUACAGUACCUUUCUCCUGCACUACUUUUAAGUAUGCAAAUGUGCCGAACAGUGUUACUGUGUACAAAUGCUCAUGGUUAUAAACUUGAUUAUUUUUCAGCUCUCUGGUUGAUCCUAUUGAUUGAUACAUACUUUGAUCAGUUUGUUUGCAAUAAUAAUAAUGACUAGGACAGAGAUCUCUCAGGCCCAAAAACCACAAAAAGGGGAGGGGACUGAUAGCCGCUGACAUUUGGAAACUUAAACUAUGUUCUUAUAAGUGGCACAGAUGUAUCACACAUAGGUGAAUUACUUAAAUGCACAUGUGUAGUCAGUGAGAUAGAAUUGCCACUAGUUUGAAGCCAGCCUGAGCUGUAGUGUAAGACCACGUCUCAAAAAUGGGAUGGAAAAAAACACCUAAAACAUCGUACAACUGGAUUUUUUACCCGUAUAUGUACUCCCAAUCUUAACCCUUACAUUUUGUUGCUAACUCAGAGGAUCUGCUUCUGAACCUGGCCUUUAGCUAUUUAUACUGAAUGUUGAAUUCUGGGUAGGCAGUGACUUCUGAAAUUCACACUCUCUUUUAGAGGCACUUUUCAGAUACAUUAUUCAUCAAAUCUAAUUGGGAUCAAUGUUUGGCCUUGCUUCAUUUUUUUAAAGUUAAACAUUUUAAUUAAUUCUAAUUAAUUUGCUAAACUAACAUAUCCUCAAAAUUCAGAUAACAAAACAAAAAAGCCCCACAAGUAAUAUACUACUUCAAGGUUUAACCACCAAAAUAUUUUUGUGCAAUAUUACAUAAAUUUUAAAGUAGAAUCACCUUAUUCUCAUUGUUUGUGUCUCGUAAUUUUUGUGGCCGUAUCUGAUCUGUGUCAUUUUUUAAUCUGUGUAUAGUAUUAUACUGUAUGUGGAUAAAUAAUUUAACUUUCUCCUUUGGGGUUUGUCAUAAUCCUCAUACAUAUGUCCUUGCACAUCUGUCUGAUUGUCUCAUUAGUGUAUGUUGACAGAAAAGAAUUGUUGGGUCAAAAGUAAUUGUCUGCUAAAUAGCUGUCCUGCUUUCUCUGUAACACUGCAGGGUCUUAGUUACCAUGUGUCACCAAUUCUUACUUUUCACUUAAAAGAAAACAAACUUUUAAAGUUUGAUAGGCAAGAAUAGCUCAUUUAUUUUAGUGUGUGCUUGUUUUAUUGGUGAGGUUAAACAUUUCUAGUACUUAAUUUUUAAACUUUAUUUUGUGAAUUGUCUGUCUUGUGGAACUGUUAAUUUAUGUGAACUUCUCAUGUAAAGUGUAUUUUCUCAGUUUUUCUCCAUUGCUCUGUCAGUGGUGUGCAGAAUGCAUUAUAUGAUGAGUAAAGGAGCUCACUUACAGAUAGUAGACAUUCUGAAACAACGAGACAAGCUACUGUUUAGAGUUGGCUACAGGUUGUUAUGCCAGAAAUUGUAGAAAGUAAAUCUUAUGUAUUUAUUUAUUUUUACUUCAUUGUGUUUGUAAGUACUAAUUCUAAGUAAUAAACAUUAAGAUUCUUAGGUAGUCGUUUCUUAGAGUUGAUUUGGACAGAGCUCAGUAAGGACUAAUGCACUAGGCCUGCUUGUAUAAAGAGAGCAUCUAAUGAUUCAAAGCAUUCACAUAGUCUAAGAACAUUCUGUAACUUAAGAUUUUUAUUUUAAAGACUAGAAUAUUGGCCUUUUCCCCCUUAACCAUUUAUUUAUAUAUAUGGUAAGAUAGUACUUUUAGAAAACUAAUACCAUCCAUCCUUAUAAAACUAUUUUGUUUUAUAGCAAGCUAUAAAAGGAAAUAUUUCAGGGACUGGAGAGAUGUCUCAGUAAUUAAAAACAUUGACUCUUUCCUGAGGACCCAGGUUUGUUAUCAACACCCAAAUGGCAGCUUACAAACAUGUAUAAAUGGAAUCCCAGGGUGUCCAAUACCCUUUUCUGGCCUCUGUGGUCACCGCAUGCUUGUAGUGUACAGACUUAUAUGCAGGAAAAGGACUCAUACAUAGAAAAUAAAAGGAUAGGUUUAAGUAAAAAAAUUAAAAUUGUUCAGUUAGCUAAUCUUUGUAUAUCAGAAGCAGUCUUUAGAGUCUAGUUGAAAAAACAGAUCUAAAGGCAUUAUUGUUACAUGGGUUUUGUAUGAAUUAAGCAUCAAUCCAUUAAAUUAUUUUGCAAAGUUUAUUUUGUCAGCAUUUUUCAGCUUGUGUUUCUGCCACCAUAAGCAAAACAGGCGGUAGUUCUUAAAACUUUCCUUAACUCUCCAGAAUUUGGAUUGAUUUUGUGUUGUCAUUGAAUUAUUGGGGCACAAAUUUAAGCAGUCAGAAACAGAAAUUUAAAAUUGUUUAUUACUUGGGAUGCCAUGGUUACAUAGUGGACAUUAACGUGUUCAGGAUGGAACACAACUGCUCUUGAAGACCCUCCCCUUCCUUCAUAGGAUAGGUAGGCCGUGAGCAUGCAACGGGCUGUCUAGGCCUUCCCUUGGGUCAGAUUUCCUUAAGUACUAACUUGAACAUCUGCAAGUUAAGUACUCACCUUAAAUUGUGGUACAGAAGUGUGCGACUGGAUUAUUUUUCCUAGAUGCAUGUUCCAUUUUUAAUGGCCAGUCUUCGUUUGGCAUACAAUGCAACAGAAAAAACAGGUUCCCUGCCAUUUUUCCCAGUCCUCUGAGACCCGUUUGUUGCUGUUCAUUUGUCAGCCUUGUGUUUUGUUGGUGCUCACAGGCUAAAUUCUGUUAAGUUUGGAAAUUACACCUUUGAGUUUAUAAAAUGACACUGUUUCACCCAAGUGGUAGCCUUAGCAGAGGGAUGUGAAGUCAUGAGUGAACUGAGUUGGGUUUCCUGUGAAAUUGCUAUGGUGAACGCAAUAUUUUACCAAUAAAGACAUUGUUCUUUCUCUUAGGUCUACUUAAGAGUAAAGCAAAGUUUAAAAAGCUAACUAACGGAAGGACUUGAGGAUUGAAAAUGAGCCAGAAAAAAACUGUUUUUCUCAACUCAGCUCUUAAAGAGACUUAGAAAUUGGGGGUGGACUGGAGCAGGAAGUAGAAUGUGUUAGAUUAUGACAUCCGUGCCCUUGAGACAACAGCGUGACUCCUCCUUGUCUUUACUUAUGCUAUUCCUCUGCCUGGAAUGCCUUCCCUCCUUUCUAUCUAAAUCCUACCCACCUCCUCCACGAAGCCUUCUCUAACUACUGGAGCCCACAUUGAUGUCUCCCUGUUCAGAACACCUAUGGCACCUAACAGCCAGCACUGCACCGUUUAGCACUGUUUGUCCUAUGGCAAUUUCACAUGCUCCUGAGUAGGUACCAAUCUUGGGAAAAAGAAGCAACACAUUUGUCAUAUACCAGGAUGUGGUAAAGUCUAUGGGAAAA